rnacentral:rRNA from 1 species
CCUACGGGUGGCAGCAGUGAGGAAUAUUGGUCAAUGGACGAGAGUCUGAACCAGCCAAGUAGCGUGAAGGAUGACUGCCCUAUGGGUUGUAAACUUCUUUUAUAUGGGAAUAAAAUGUUCCACGUGUGGGAUUUUGUAUGUACCAUAUGAAUAAGGAUCGGCUAACUCCGCGCCAGCAGCCGCGGUAAUACGGAGGAUCCGAGCGUUAUCCGGUUUUAUUGGGUUUAAAGGGAGCGUAGGUGGAUUGUUAAGUCCGUUGUGAAAGUUUGCGGCCCAACCGUAAAAUUGCAGUGGAAACUGGCAGGCUUGAGUACAGUAGAGGUGAGCGGAAUUCGUGGUGUAGCGGUGAAAUGCUUAGAUAUCACGAAGAACUCCGAUUGCGAAGGCAGUUCACUGGACUGCAACUGACACUGAGGCUCGAAAGUGUGGGGAUCAAACAGGAUUAGAUACCCGAGUAGUC